rnacentral:tRNA from 1 species
CUGUAUUUAGUUUAUUUUUUAAAAUUUCUAAUUUGUAAUUAGAGGAAUCUUGACAGU